AUUGAACGCUGGCGGCAUGCCUUACACAUGCAAGUCGAACGGCAGCACGGGUGCUUGCCCCUGGUGGCGAGUGGCGCACGGGUGAGUAAUACAUCGGAACAUGUCCUGUAGUGGGGGAUAGCACGGCGAAAGCCGGAUUAAUACCGCAUACGAUCUACUGAUGAAAGCGGGGGCCCUUCGGGCCUCGCGCUAUAGGGUUGGCCGAUGGCUGAUUAGCUAGUUGGUGGGGUAAAGGCCUACCAAGGCGACGAUCAGUAGCUGGUCUGAGAGGACGACCAGCCACACUGGGACUGAGACACGGCCCAGACUCCUACGGGAGGCAGCAGUGGGGAAUUUUGGACAAUGGGCGAAAGCCUGAUCCAGCAAUGCCGCGUGUGUGAAGAAGGCCUUCGGGUUGUAAAGCACUUUUGUCCGGAAAGAAAUCCUUGGCCCUAAUACGGUCGGGGGAUGACGGUACCGGAAGAAUAAGCACCGGCUAACUACGUG
rnacentral:rRNA from 1 species